CGUCAACUAUUUUGUUCAAACUCAUUGUAUUCUACUGAAUGUGCCAUAGAAAUGAUACAGAUCACCAACCCCAGCAUGGACCAAUCUCUCAUUCCAUCCUCUAGAGAACCUUAGGUAACUGAUUGGUGGGCAGUCUAAUAUAUUUUAAAAAUCAUGGAUAUCAAGAACAUUGAUGGCACCAAUUAUAAACAAGACUUUAUGAGAACUUGUAUGUCAUUUCAAGAAAAAGGACAGGAUUAUGCAGUCAAUAUGAUUCAUUAACUUCUGAGCAGAGCCUGAGCAUCUGAACAUUUUGCCAAGAUGUCGUCUCUUUUUCCUGUACCGUCUAUAUGUUUUGUAAGAAACACUUCAGAACA